rnacentral:lncRNA from 10 species
CCUCACCAGAAGCACAAAGUAUUCUGUCCUUCUGGAAGCCUAAGAACCCACCGGGGGAUCAUGAGAGAACUCAGCUACCAAAGGGAGGCUUUGGGCAAGGCAUUCAGCAAUUUACCAAGUCUUCAAAAAUCUGAAGGUUGGGUCUCGGCCAGGUACCCUGUUCCAGUGUGAGUGAUGGAAGGGAGCCCGUUACGGAAGAAGCACGCUUCAAGAGCCAACAUGAAGCCACUCCGAAUACAGCGCAUAGGACGCCCAUGUAAAGACAGGAAAACUCCAGAGUCAUCCAUAUUAAGGUGAUCUCACCAAGGAAGGAGGCAAAAGAGAGAACAGAAGGCAGGGCCUGAGGAACACCUGUAUUUCUAGGACAAGAAGAGAGGAUGUUGGGAAAAGCUGAGUGUUAGGAGAAGCUGAGGCAGGGUUUGCAUGUCUGACACAAUGUAAAAGAGUCUUGGAACAUGUCCGGGGUCCAGGGUCUAAAACCCCUUGUGGCCUUUGGAACACCAAGCUCUGUGCUAAAGGGUGGAAGGCUACCCUGACGCACCAUAAUCUAAGCCCAGGGCAUAAAAUCCCUCGUGACUUGGAUAGAAUCCAGGGCUCAUGGCUCUGGAAUGUGUCUAGACUUGCUGGCUCCUUGCUCUCCCAGGAUCAAUUGUAUCUUGAGUUAAAAGAACCUACUCUCACUAUCUCAAGUAGCAGAAAAUGUUCCUUAUAAAUGCUAAACCAUCACAGCUAUAGAUCAUGUGCCUGCCCUUUUGACCUCCACAUUCUCACCACCUGUUUCUUUGUUGGAUUACUAAUAAAUACCACAGGGUCCCAGAGCUCAGGGCCUUUGCAGCCUCCACAAUCGCGAUGGCCCCCUGAUCCCACCUUUCUCUCUCAAACUCUUUUUCUCAAUCCUUUGAAUUUGCCGGAUUUUGUCACCCCUACGACCUGGUGUUGGGUCUGAUCACCCCAACAAGAGGAGGAGUCAGAAAUAGAAAAGGCAGGAGCAGAAAGGCAGGAGAACCAAAAAAGUGAAUUCAAGAGAGAGGGAGUGGAGUGGGUGAGUUGGUCGGCUGAUGCAGACUGGUCAUGAGGGAGAACUAAAGACGCUGUCAGUGGUGGGUGACCUUCAAGAAGCAGUUUCAGUAGAGACAGGAGCAGAGGUCAAAUUGCAAAGUGUUCAGGAGUAAAGGGGACAAAAUAACUGAGAUGAUACUGGAGGGGUCAGCAGAAGGAAAGCUGUUUCAGGACAGGCGAGGAUGGAGAAAUUGGAAAACAUGAGAGAGAGGGGCUAGUUAAUGUGGCAGGGCCAUAGAUGGGGGUGGGCACUAGUGAGCAGCUAAGCACGGAAAGACUCACCACCGAGGCAGGAGGAAGGGAUGGGAGGAGGAGAAUGGGGUUGAGGAGAUAAGGCGGGGACACAGGCUAGGGCUCAGCCGCUCUGGCUUUCAUCACCUGCUCAGCUUCCUGAUGCCUGGAAAAGAGACAACAUCAAUGUGGCCACACCACCACUGUGUGUCUGGGACCUGAGCUAAUGGAUCCAUGUGCCCCAGAGCCCAGGCUCUUUCAUGGUCCUAAUUAUGGCCUCCUGACCAGUGGUGGAUUCACUCUCUUAUUCACUUUUUCAACAUUUACUGCCCACCGGCCACAUGAGAAAUGCUAGGAGUUGCAUCAGUAAGAGGGACCAGAGAGCUCAGAGGGUUGCAGGGAGGACAGUUACAUAGACUUUCCCAGGAGAUGGUGAGGCUAGACAGAGCAUGCUGUAGAAUUCCAGAGCAAGGACACCUCACCUUGGGGAAGGAGUAGCAAAGCCAGAGAAUGAAGUGACACGGAACCAAAGCAAGAGGAAGAGUUGGCCAGGAGAGCAGAAGGGGCAAGAGCGUUCCAGGAGAGAAACAGUACACACAAAGGUAAGCAAAGGUGAGCAGGAGCCUGGCAAGCCCUAGGAACUGGGAGCAAAAUGUUCAGAAUGCUACUCGGAGGCUGAGGUGGGAGGACUCCUGAGCCCAGGAGUUUGAGACCAGCCUGGGCAACAUAGCAAGACCCAGACCCCCUCUCAAAAAAAAGUUCAGAAUGGAGAGCACAGCACCAAAAUGGUCAUCCAAGGGGUGAGACCAAAGCCAUAGUAAAAGGGCCUGCCCAGGCUAUUCAGCAAAAAGUACCAAAUAACAUGAAAUAAGGACCUAAUUAUGGGCAGACAGCCAUAGGUCACUAUAUCCUAAGACCAAAACUGUGUACAUUGUGUACUGAAUAAAAUCCAUAACCCUUGCCAGGAGUUGGGGCAGGGGUGACUGCAGUGGCUAAAUCAGUGACCAGAAGAAACAUGGACUCCUGGAAGCAAAGGCGGGUCCCAGGAAGUCACAGCGCCAAGAUAUGGAGCUGACCAUCCAUCCGGCCAGCACUAGGCAAGGUCAAACCCCUCCCUGAGAUGUAAGUGGAGGAAACCCAGGCUCAGAUGAGUCAAACUACCCCGAGAAAGAGGGUGGAAGAAUGAGGGCAUACAUGAGGUGGCACUGCUGUGUGCCCCAAGCUCCUUCCAUCUCCCAUCACACCUGGGUAAGUCCCAAUGGCAGCAACUACAUAGGGAAGGGUCACGAUGGCCUGCUUGGCUUGCAGGAGUCAGCUCAUCUAAUUCCAUAGACUCUGCAAGUCACUGUCACAUCACUUCACCCUCCCUCCUCCUGAAAGUAUUAUCAUCCCUGUUAUCACACGGUUGUAUUUUCUUGUCUGUUACCCCUACUGAUCUGUGAGCUCCCCAAAGGCAAGGGCUGGGUUUUGUUCAACCUUAUAUGUCCUGAUUCAUGUAUAAUGGGUGAUAGAUACUCCUUGGUUAAAUGAAUGAAUGAAUGGGCUCCAAGCUCCAUACUAGGUUUGGCUUAAUGGAAGUUGACCAUAAUUGACAAUACCAAUUUUUGAGCUGGUCAAGUUCAAUCCCACCAGAUGUCAUGAAAAUGGAGCCCAUGAAGAAUGAUUGACAGAAGGAAACCAG